CCAGUGGACCACAUUUAGUCAGUGCCAGUGAAACAUACCAGGCAACGAGCAGAUGAAAUAUGCUAAUAACCUGCAAAUGCUGAGCAGAGGAGGCCUUUGAAAGCCUGAGGGACUUGGUCUCUGGAGUGAAAAUUUCCUGUCCCUUUUCAUCUCCAGAAGAUGCCCCCCGCCCCCAUCAUGGUCAUGACAAGUAACCAUAGUUACAGAGUUAGAACAAGUAGCCACAGAACUCAAAGAGCAAACAUUAGCUAUUUCUUCACUUGGUUACCCAAGUGCCAUUUUUUCGAGGGACCCAUGGGGCCUGUGCUAUCAGGACAAUGGAGCCCUACUCAGCAAUAAAAAGCAAUAAGCUGUUGAUAAAGGCAACAAGGCACGAUGCUGAUGGAAAGGAGAUAGUUUCAGAAGCUUCCAUACCAUCUGAUUCUAUGUGACUUUCUGGAAAAGGCGCAACAGAUUAGUGGCUACAAGGGGCUGGAGUUGGGUAGAGUUUGACUACAGAGGGACAGAGUGGAAGUUUGAGGGGUGAUGGAAUGUUCUGUCUCCUGAUUGUAAGUGGUGGCAGUUACAUGAGUUCAUACAUACAUUAAAACUGCACACUCCAGAAGUCCCUUAAUUUUACUAUAUGUUGUUUAAAAAACAAACAAAAAGCUAGUUCCUAAAGAAUGUGAGAGGCUUUUAAUAUUGCCAUGUCUUCUUCUAACCACAGUGAAGCAUUUAAAGCCACAUUUCUAAAAGUGUAUCAGCCAACAAGGACUUGACCGCUGGUGAUGGCAGAGCUCAAGGGGGAGAGGAGAAAGUGGAGGUUCUGGGGCCAAAGGAAGAGCGUUAGCUUCUCUGCGUCAAUUCCUCUUUCACUUUCCACAGAACAAGAACGAAAUGCAUGGCAACAGCAAGACUCAGAAAGUGUCUUCUGCCUGACUCGUCCUGAAAGAGCUACGCAGAGCACAGCGUCACAGCUGCAGAGAUUACACUGCCUUCUCUACAUCCCCUGUCAUCCAACAUCUUAAGCAACAUGAUUUCUGAUGGACAAUUGAAGUGUUUUUUCCAUUUUUUUCAGAGGUAGCUUAGUAUAGCCAACAUCCUCAGGGGCCAUUGAUUCUUCUCCCUCUUGACUAAAUGUGCACUGUGAAAAUGAGGUAAAAACUGCAGCCCUCGUGUGUCUGUGGAGUGGGGAGUAGGGCACUAUAGCAGAGGCGCGAUGUAUACUGCAGAAGGACUAGCUCAUGACUUCAGAUCAUCUUGAAAGUAGAGCUUUGGACUUUUCAGUAGCAUCUUACAUCUUUUAUCUUAAUUGAUCCUCACAUAAGCCUCCCCUCGAAGUGAGGAAUUAUUACCCAAUACCGAUUCAACAGAAGCUAAAACCAAAGCAUGUGUAUGUUGAGAAUUUAUCAGUGGUAACACAGAGAGUUAGUGGAAAAACAAGGUAUAAAACCUGAGUCUCCUCAUUCCAGACCUCAUUGUAAAGUGUCAUCUGGAUACACCAAACUUAGACCAAAAGCUAAGAGGUGAAGACGGUUACCUUCUGUAGGAACUGUUGAACUUGGACUCCUAUUCCCAGGCCUAAAGGGAAGGAUGCAUUCCCAGUAAAGAAUAUGCCUGAUUCCUUUUAAGAUUUAUCUCAAGCAGCAAGCUGACCCAUUCCUACUCACAAAGAAUUGACUUCUCCCUUGGUUGAGCCCCACAGUACCUUAAAUACAGUGCUAUCUUUGUACCUGCAGCAUUUCCACAUGCCUCAGGGCCUGAGUCUUGCUGUCCUUGGAUUGUCAGACCUUGGCACAUAGUAGGCACUCAAAACUUGUGUGCUAAAUGAACAGCAUGGUAUCAACUUGAUUCUUUAUCAGGGCAAGUCAAAGGCAAUUCGGGCAUGGAAAAAUCUUGGGAAUGUCAUUUACCCCCUUAAAGCCUUAGUUUCCGCAUCUGUGAAUGGGGAUAAAGAAACCAGGAACCCUGUUCCUGGGCCGGUGUGUAAAAUGCUUGGCAAGGUGUUUGUCUCACAGUAAGCUCUCAGUAGAUGGUAGCUCUUCGUGGCAGCCAGCCUCCAAGACGGUCCCCAGUGACUCAUGUUGGUACCCACACCCUUGUGUGGUCCCCACACACUGAACAGAGCGGGCUAGGUAACAGCAGGAUAACAGAGAGAUGAUAGAGUGUGACUUACCAGAACCACUCACAAAAAUUACUGGGGUUUCUGCUUGCUCUCUUUGGGAUCACUUGCUCUGGAGGGCACUGGACAUCCUAUCGUGAAGACGUCCACGUUGGUAGGAUCUAGGCUUCCUGCCAACAGCAAACAUCAAGUGACCUUCUGUGUGAGUGAGCCAUCUUGGACACGGAUCCUCCAGCCCCUGUAAAGCCGUCAGAGGACUGCAACUCUGGUGGACACCUUGACUGCAGGCUCGUGAGAAACCUGGGGCAGUUAAGCCACUCCUAGAUUCCUGAUCUACAGAAAUUGUGUAGACAGAUGCUUAUUGUUUUAAACUGCUAAGUUUGGGGUGAUUUAUAAGGACACAAUAUACUUGUUGUAAAUAGUUGUACAGGUUAUCAAUAAAGAUGCACCUCCCACGUGGUCAGUGCCUGUUCUUACCUGAUCUCAGUUCUCAGGAGCAGUGGGGGGAGGAAGGUUGGUUUUGACCAAAUCAGGACUCUCCUCUCCCCAAACUGAGGAGGUGGGGAACUAAGGUAGACCUUCUCAGGAACUGACCCGAGGAAGGUGAGAAAGUCCUCGUGGUACUAUUUGCUACACUGACAAACUGAUGUCAGAAUAUCACUGGACCCUGAAACAGACAUUCUAAUGUUAUUUCAUGGUGGCAGGUAUGUACGUCGCCUUCCAAACAGCGGGACAAUCCUGACCCUAAGGGCUAAUCUUGGCCCCUCCUCUGUCACCUGCCCCCAGCAGCUAGCAUGCCACCCACACCAAUGUCUUGCUUAGCUUCCCCUUCCCAAGUCCUUCAAACCACACAACUUUGAUGAAAAUGGCGGCAUUUUUAAAGUGGCCAGUAUUUGACUGAAUAAUGAGAAUUCCUUAGUUUUUUCAGGCUACACAGGCCUUCAGUUCAGUUCAGUUCAGUUGCUCAGUAGUGUCCGACUCCUUGCGACCCCACGAAUCGCAGCACACCAGGCCUCCCUGUCCAUCACCAAC
ensembl:lncRNA